ensembl:lncRNA
GCAUUUUGGAGAUGGACACUGCAUGAGGGUGUCUAAAAACUUACCAAUCCCAAAGAACAGCAAUGCCAAAGAAUGUUCAGACUACUGCACAAUUACAUUCAUCUCACAUACUAGUAAAGUAAUGCUCAAAAUUUUCCAAGCCAGGCUUCAGUAGAAUGUGAACCAUGAACUUCCAGAUGUUCAAGCUGGUUUUAGAAAAGGCAGAGGAACCAGAGAUCAAAUUGCCAACAUCUAUUGGAUCAUCGAAAAAGCAAG